CAACAGGUAGGAGGAUAUACUCUCGGUUAAGUUUGGGGGGAGGGGGCGCACAGGGCUGAUGAAACUGCAGGUUCACCGGGAAGGAGCCCUCCUUGAGUUUUUUUGUGUGUGGGUUUUGUGUGUGUGUGUGUUUUUACAAUAAACUGCAUAAUGGAAGUACAUUCAGACAAUGCAUCUUCAGUAGGGCUUAUUGAGAGCUCCAUUUCUGGAAAGCGUUGCAAGACUGAGGAAUAUCGGACUGCGAAUCACCGGGAACAGUUCCCUUGCAGCACAGAAGCAACCUCUCUCCCCAUCUUCGCAUAUUCUGAUGGCAAAUCAAGUGAAAGAAAAGAGGAAGCAUGACUGCAGAUCGGAUCCGUUCUCUUUGUGGAUUACAUUUUCAGUAAAAUGUAUGGAUCUAUCUUUUCCUUGUUCUUAUAUCUAGAUCAUGAGACUUGACUGAGGCUGUA
rnacentral:lncRNA from 1 species